rnacentral:lncRNA from 1 species
GGCGGCCGAUGCACUCAAUUUUGGGUUUGCUCUCCAUAUUUCAAGAUGAGAAAUCAAGCGCUGACCAGAAGAUUAUUGUUGAGACAAUGGUGAAAACAAGCACUGUUCUCUCGACGUUAAUAAAUGAUGCGAUGGAGAUAUCUGCCAAAGAUGACGGACGGUUCCCAGUAGAAAUGAAGCCGUUUCAGUUGCAUUUACUGGUCAGGGAGGCGUCUUGUCUAUUAAUAAAUGAUGCGAUGGAAAUAUCGGCCAAAGAUGAUGGACGGUUCCCAGUAGAAAUGAGGCCGUUUCAGUUGCAUUUACUGGUCAGGGAGGCGUCUUGUCUUGUUAAGUGCUUGUGCGUUU